rnacentral:rRNA from 1 species
AGUGAACGCUGGCGGUAGGCCUAACACAUGCAAGUCAAACGGCAGCACAGUAAGAGCUUGCUCUUACGGGUGGCGAGUGGCGGACGGGUGAGGAAUACAUCGGAACCUACUUUUUCGUGGGGGAUAACGUAGGGAAACUUACGCUAAUACCGCAUACGACCUACGGGUGAAAGCAGGGGAUCUUCGGACCUUGCGCGAUUGAAUGAGCCGAUGUCGGAUUAGCUAGUUGGCGGGGUAAAGGCCCACCAAGGCGACGAUCCGUAGCUGGUCUGAGAGGAUGAUCAGCCACACUGGAACUGAGACACGGUCCAGACUCCUACGGGAGGCAGCAGUGGGGAAUAUUGGACAAUGGGCGCAAGCCUGAUCCAGCCAUACCGCGUGGGUGAAGAAGGCCUUCGGGUUGUAAAGCCCUUUUGUUGGGAAAGAAAAGCAGCAGGUUAAUACCCCGCUGUUCUGACGGUACCCAAAGAAUAAGCACCGGCUAACUUCGUG